rnacentral:rRNA from 1 species
AUUGAACGCUGGCGGCAGGCCUAACACAUGCAAGUCGAACGGUAACAGGAAACAGCUUGCUGUUUCGCUGACGAGUGGCGGACGGGUGAGUAAUGUCUGGGAAACUGCCUGAUGGAGGGGGAUAACUACUGGAAACGGUAGCUAAUACCGCAAAACGUCGCAAGACCAAGAGGGGGACCUUCGGGCCUCUUGCCAUCGGAUGUGCCCAGAUGGGAUUAGCUAGUAGGUGGGGUAACGGCUCACCUAGGCGACGAUCCCUAGCUGGUCUGAGAGGAUGACCAGCCACACUGGAACUGAGACACGGUCCAGACUCCUACGGGAGGCAGCAGUGGGGAAUAUUGCACAAUGGGCGCAAGCCUGAUGCAGCCAUGCCGCGUGUAUGAAGAAGGCCUUCGGGUUGUAAAGUACUUUCAGCGGGGAGGAAGGGAGUAAAGUUAAUACCUUUGCUCAUUGACGUUACCCGCAGAAGAAGCACCGGCUAACUCCGUGCCAGCCGCCGCCGUAA